rnacentral:rRNA from 1 species
UACGAAGGGAGCUAGCGUUGUUCGGAAUCACUGGGCGUAAAGCGCACGUAGGCGGAUGUGUCAGUCAGGGGUGAAAUCCCGGAGCUCAACUUCGGAACUGCCUUUGAUACAGCACGUCUUGAGUCCGAUAGAGGUGGGUGGAAUUCCUAGUGUAGAGGUGAAAUUCGUAGAUAUUCGGAAGAACACCAGUGGCGAAGGCGGCUCACUGGACUGGUAUUGACGCUGAUGUGCGAAAGCGUGGGGAGCAAACAGG